rnacentral:lncRNA from 1 species
GUGCGCUGCACAGGAGGACCUCGUCGUCUCUCCAUUCUCAAUGCCGUAGUUGGCAUCGACUCCCCCAAACUCCCAGUCCAUCGCCCUCACAACCACAAGUCUAUUCUCUGUGUCCGUGGGUUUUGUGGACAGGUUCCUUUGUGCCAUGGUUUAGAUUCCACCUCUAAGUGAGAUCAGGUGGUAUCCGUCUAUCUCUUUCUCACGUCCUUCGCUUUGUAUGAGAAUCUCUCGAUCCAUCCCUAUUGUUUUGAAGGGCAUUGGUUUCUUCUUUGAUUUUCUGGCUGAGUCGUGAAUUCCAUCGUAUAUGUGGACCACAUCGUCGGAUCCAUUCGUCUGUCUGGGGACAUGAGGUGGCUUCCCUGUCUUGGCUGUUGUGAGUAGUGCCGCCAUAAACACACAGGGGCAUAUAGUCUUUUGCCUGGAUACGUUUGUCCUGAUAUUUUCCAGGGCGCUCGCUCGACUUGCUGGGUGCCAUGCUGUGCUAUGUUCAGUUUUCGGAGGCCCCUCCGUGGUGUCUUCCGUAGUGGUUGUACCAGUGUACAUUUGCACCGGCAGUGCUGGGGGGACGCCUUUUCUCCACCCGUGUCUGCGACCGACACCAGAGCUCGCGGCAGCGCUGGAUCCUUAACCCCCUCAGCGAGGCCAGGGAUCAACCCCGCAAGCUCGUGGUUCCUAGUCGGAUUGUUUCCGCUGUGCCCCGACGGGACCUCCUGGGUCGUUUCGUUGUUGCUGCGGUGAGGUGUAUGAGUUUUCUUUAUGUAUGUUUUGGAGAGGAACCUCACGGGCAGUGGUACCUUUCUCCUCAGUGUUUCUGUAGAGCUGCUUGCUGUCCACAGUGUGGCAGCCACUGGCCAGAGGGAGCCAUUUAUGUUUGAUUGAAUUCAAUCCGUAGUUAGGUCUGCCUCUUGCAGUGAACACAACAAAGCAGCCAGUGGUUCACUCACACACGCCACCGCGCAAGUGUGUCCGUGCAGCUGGAAUUUCAACCUGGAGCUGAGACCUCCAGAUGGACUCCUAGAAGGGUGACGUGUAAAGCUGCAUCCCUCAGCAGCCCACGAUCUUGGCAGGUUUGCCACUGUGACCAAUGUUUUAUUGAAGCUUCUGAGGCCGUAGAGCACAGGGAAGUUCCGAGCACACAGAGGACAAGCCAGGGCGGUGCUGUGUGGCCCAAAACAACCUUAAGUAGGAGACAUGAGUGGGGGACGGUUUCUGACACCUUGAUUCCUCAUGUCUGUGUUUCUGCAGUGUGGAGCAUUGUGAGUCUGUGUGGCAGCAACCACGAAGAAAGUGAUACAGACUUGGUGGCGGAGAGCACCGACUGCCGCCAGGAUGAGGAGGCUGCAGGUAGGGAAGAGCACACAGCUGGGAUCCAGGGGGAGAGGGUUCCUGGGAGCAGCUGGGUUCCACUGCUGCCGGGAGAGGGAGGAAGGGGGGGAUAGGACUUGGCAGGUGGGUGGGUGGGUGGCCUAAUGAGUGGAACCCUGAUGUGGUGUUUUCCCCUCCGAAAUUGAUAACACGAAGAAGACUUGUGUCCCUGGUCUUUGUCGUGCUGUGUUUGGAUUCCUGUCUCCUUCCUUUGAGAGGGAGAAUCGAUUUUCCCUCCCAAAGCUGCUCCUUCCAGCUCUUGUCUCUGGCCAUUGUGCCAGCUUGCUUUGUGAG